rnacentral:rRNA from 1 species
AUUGAACGCUGGCGGCAGGCCUAACACAUGCAAGUCGAACGGUAACAGGAAGACGCUUGCUUCUUUGCUGACGAGUGGCGGACGGGUGAGUCAUGUCUGGGCAACUGCCUGAUGGAGGGGGAUAACUACUGGAAACGGUAGCUAAUACCGCAUAACGUCGCAAGCCCAAAGAGGGGGACCUUCUGGCCUCUUGCCAUCGGGUGUGCCCAGAUGGUCGUGGCUAGUAGGUGGGGUAACGGCUCACCUAGGCGACGAUCCCUAGCUGGUCUGAGAGGAUGACCGGCCACACUGGAACGGGGACACGGUCCAGACUCCUACGGGAGGCAGCAGUGGGGAAUAUUGCACAGUGGGCGCAAGCCUGAUGCAGCCAUGCCGCGUGUAUGGAGAAGGCCUUCGGGUUGUAAAGUACUUUCAGCGGGGAGGAAGGGAGUAAAGUUAAUACCUUGGCUCAUUGACGGUACCCGCAGAAGAAGCACCGGCUAACUCCGUG